rnacentral:rRNA from 1 species
UACGGAGGGAGCUAGCGUUGUUCGGAAUUACUGGGCGUAAAGCGCACGUAGGCGGCUUUGUAAGUUAGAGGUGAAAGCCCGGGGCUCAACCCCGGAACCGCCUUUAAGACUGCAUCGCUUGAAUCCAGGAGAGGUGAGUGGAAUUCCGAGUGUAGAGGUGAAAUUCGUAGAUAUUCGGAAGAACACCAGUGGCGAAGGCGGCUCACUGGCCUGGUAUUGACGCUGAGGUGCGAAAGCGUGGGGAGCAAACAGG